rnacentral:tRNA from 1 species
GGGGGAGUAUCCAAGCGGUCAACGGAUGGCGCCUGUAAAGCGUCGGGCUAAGCCUUCGCAGGUUCGAAUCCUGCCUCCCCCA